CACUGAAUUGAGCAACCAAUCCUUAUCACUGGAUGGUGACAUAAAACCUCAUAAGCUCUUACAUUGGUGAUAUGUCAUACUUAGAAUGUCCUUCACAUCAAAUCUUGAAUUGAAUUAUCUUGCCCCAAGUCCCUGAUGUUGCUCAUUGUGAGUAGGCACUGGAGAGCUCUAUUCAAAUCACUGCUCUGCAUAGCCAAAUCAAACUCCAACCUACAAAACGAGGAUAACAUUAUAAGUUUCAAAAUGAGAUGAAAUGGAAACUGCUUGGAUGUUGUAGUAAUUCAGGAAAUGAGUUGAAACGACUUUUAAUGUCAUAUAAUUGCAGAAAAUGAUUCAACACAGGAAUAAUCCCUAAUGUUUCAAUAUGCCAGACCAAUCACUUAUUUAAUCGACCUUAUAGAAUGGCAUACAAGUAUCAAUAUAUAGCCAAGUUAAUACACAGUUGAUCACCAAAAAAAUUAUACUUAUAUGUAGGAAAUAAAAUACAAAUGGAAAAUUAUGAAUAAGAAAAAGAAGAGAACAUUGUGACAUCAAAUAUAAACUGUCUGAAUUAAUUAAUAGUAUACCUCUUAGAUAUUCCAAGUAAAUGAAAUGUCUUAGUAGCAUAACCCACACCUCUUAGAUAUUCCAAGCAAAUAGUGAUGUACACAUGGAUAAAAAAUGCAGAUGUAAACAUCUAAACAGUUGCACAUGCAUUCAUAUACAAACAUGAAAAUAGUGCACGGCUUCCAAAUGCAUACCACAAGUUGUUCAUGAUGAAGCCACUUCUGUUCUUCUACCUGCAACCGCAAUGCUUCAGUAAUUCAUACAUUACUCCU
rnacentral:lncRNA from 1 species